GACGAACGCUGGCGGCGUGCCUAAUACAUGCAAGUUGAGCGAUGAAGCUUGGUGCUUGCACCAAUUUGAAGAGCAGCGAACGGGUGAGUAACGCGUGGGGAAUCUGCCUUUGAGCGGGGGACAACAUUUGGAAACGAAUGCUAAUACCGCAUAACAACUUUAAACAUAAGUUUUAAGUUUGAAAGAUGCAAUUGCAUCACUCAAAGAUGAUCCCGCGUUGUAUUAGCUAGUUGGUGAGGUAAAGGCUCACCAAGGCGAUGAUACAUAGCCGACCUGAGAGGGGGAUCGGCCACAUUGGGACUGAGACACGGCCCAAACUCCUACGGGAGGCAGCAGUAGGGAAUCUUCGGCAAUGGACGAAAGUCUGACCGAGCAACGCCGCGUGAGUGAAGAAGGUUUUCGGAUCGUAAAACUCUGUUGGUAGAGAAGAACGUUGGUGAGAGUGGAAAGCUCAUCAAGUGACGGUAACUACCCAGAAAGGGACGGCUAACUACGUG
rnacentral:rRNA from 1 species